rnacentral:rRNA from 1 species
AGAGUUUGAUCCUGGCUCAGGAUGAACGCUGGCGGCGUGCUUAACACAUGCAAGUCGAACGGGAAACUUUUCAUUGAAGCUUCGGCAGAUUUGGUCUGUUUCUAGUGGCGGACGGGUGAGUAACGCGUGGGUAACCUGCCUUAUACAGGGGGAUAACAACCAGAAAUGGUUGCUAAUACCGCAUAAGCGCACAGGACCGCAUGGUCCGGUGUGAAAAACUCCGGUGGUAUAAGAUGGACCCGCGUUGGAUUAGCUAGUUGGCAGGGUAACGGCCUACCAAGGCGACGAUCCAUAGCCGGCCUGAGAGGGUGAACGGCCACAUUGGGACUGAGACACGGCCCAGACUCCUACGGGAGGCAGCAGUGGGGAAUAUUGCACAAUGGGGGAAACCCUGAUGCAGCGACGCCGCGUGAAGGAAGAAGUAUCUCGGUAUGUAAACUUCUAUCAGCAGGGAAGAUAGUGACGGUACCUGACUAAGAAGCUCCGGCUAACUACGUGCCAGCAGCCGCGGUAAUACGUAGGGGGCAAGCGUUAUCCGGAUUUACUGGGUGUAAAGGGAGCGUAGACGGACUGGCAAGUCUGAUGUGAAAGGCGGGGGCUCAACCCCUGGACUGCAUUGGAAACUGUUAGUCUUGAGUGCCGGAGAGGUAAGCGGAAUUCCUAGUGUAGCGGUGAAAUGCGUAGAUAUUAGGAGGAACACCAGUGGCGAAGGCGGCUUACUGGACGGUAACUGACGUUGAGGCUCGAAAGCGUGGGGAGCAAACCAGGAUUAGAUACCCUGGUAGUCCACGCCGUAAACGAU